rnacentral:rRNA from 1 species
GAUGAACGCUAGCGACAGGCCUAACACAUGCAAGUCGAGGGGUAACAGAUGAAGAGCUUGCUCAGAUUGCUGACGACCGGCGCACGGGUGAGUAACACGUAUGCAACCUACCUUUUACAGAGGGAUAGCCCAGAGAAAUUUGGAUUAAUACCUCAUAAUAUUUUUAACUCGCAUGAGUUUUAAAUUAAAACUUCGGUGGUAAAAGAUGGGCAUGCGUUCUAUUAGUUUGUUGGUGAGGUAACGGCUUACCAAGACUACGAUAGAUAGGGGUUCUGAGAGGAUAGUCCCCCACACUGGUACUGAGACACGGACCAG